rnacentral:rRNA from 1 species
UACGGGGGGGGGCAAGCGUUGUUCGGAAUUACUGGGCGUAAAGGGCUCGUAGGCGGCCAACUAAGUCAGACGUGAAAUCCCCCGGCUUAACCUGGGAACUGCGUCUGAUACUGGGAGGCUUGAGUAUGGGAGAGGGAUGUAGAAUUCCAGGUGUAGCGGUGAAAUGCGUAGAUAUCUGGAGGAAUACCGGUGGCGAAGGCGGCAUCCUGGACCAUUACUGACGCUGAGGCGCGAAAGCUAGGGGAGCAAACGGG